rnacentral:rRNA from 1 species
AUUGAACGCUGGCGGCAUGCCUUACACAUGCAAGUCGAACGGCAGCAUGGAGAGCUUGCUCUCUGAUGGCGAGUGGCGAACGGGUGAGUAAUGCAUCGGAACGUACCGUGUAAUGGGGGAUAACGUAGCGAAAGUUACGCUAAUACCGCAUACGACCUGAGGGUGAAAGCAGGGGAUCGCGAGACCUUGCGUUAUACGAGCGGCCGAUGUCAGAUUAGCUAGUUGGUGAGGUAAAGGCUCACCAAGGCGACGAUCUGUAGCGGGUCUGAGAGGAUGAUCCGCCACACUGGGACUGAGACACGGCCCAGACUCCUACGGGAGGCAGCAGUGGGGAAUUUUGGACAAUGGGGGAAACCCUGAUCCAGCCAUGCCGCGUGAGUGAGGAAGGCCUUCGGGUUGUAAAGCUCUUUCGGCCGGGAAGAAAUCGCACAGGCUAAUACUCUGUGUGGAUGACGGUACCGGCAUAAGAAGCACCGGCUAACUACGUGCCAGCAGCCGCCGUAA